UCGAAGCCGGCGACAGGUGACAGACAAGCAGCUGAACACGUGAACAAGAAAUGUGGUGUGGAGCGGGAGAGGGCUUUAUGGUGUGAUUGGUGCUCACUGCGCUAAUCACGGUAUACCCUUAUACGAAAGAUGUGUAUAAUCCACCGUUUAAAAAUAGCUAGACAUUUUCUGGAGAACGAAUUGCAACAACCAAGAUGAGAUCUACCCUCAAAAAUCACAAUGGCCAACAGCACACCUUAAAAACAAGAGGAAGAAAAGGCAUUGUUCAGGUGCUGGUGGAUUCCUGACAUUAGUGCCUUUUCCACCAUCUACUGGCAAAAUGAAGGUACUGUCAUUACACUUGGGGAGCUGCUCACUAAGUGAGGGACACCCCAGUCUCUCUAGGGGGGCUACCAAAACAAACUUUUACUUUUUUUUAAUGUAACUGCAAUUAUAGAAAAGACAUGCCCCAAAUUGUUCAUAUUCAAUGAGAGAGACCACAUAAAAUUUUCACUUUCAAUUAAUGGGUAUGUGUCUGUGUAAAAUCUAACUUUUGAUAUUUCAUGAACGAUUGACCCCAACUGAUUUUAAUUUAAAAAACAAAUAUUCUAAUUCAGAACAUUUAUUUGCAGAAAAUGCUUAAAAAAGUGUCCUAUAUUUAAUCAUUUAAACUAAAGUUUAUAUCCAUCUUCGCUUCAAACAAUCAUUAUUUAGUGAAAAAAUAGAUAUAUAUGGGGUAGUCUCCAAUUUUCCAGAGCACCAGUGAACGACAGCAACCCACUUUACCAUUACAAAAAUGAUGGUUACCUCUACUGGCCCAUUUGAUCCAUAAAAAAAAAAGAAGAUUU